UCUCUGGUGGCUCAGAUGGUAAAGCGUCUGCCUACAAUGCGGGAGACCCGGGUUCGAUCCCUGGGUUGGGAA
rnacentral:tRNA from 1 species